GCGAUCUUCAAGAAAUUGGAGACUAAAGUUCCUAUGAUUGAAACAUGGAAACAGGUGCUUGGAGUUCUUAAUUUUUUGAAGAAAUUCAGCAGAAAGAAGAAAAAGAAAAGAAUAGCAAGCAAAAGGGAGUAUCAACACAUACUGAUAGGUGUUUGAACUCUACCGGGUCAAGCUAAUGACGUUAAAAGAGCGCUUGCUGGGAGGCAACCCAAUUUCUGAAUUUUUUU
rnacentral:lncRNA from 1 species